GCAUGUCCUACAGGGAUAAAAUUCUAUAGAUGUGCGGCCGAUUUGUGCAAUCAGGUCAGAGCAUGACAUGAAGAUGCUCUCUAGCUAUUGUGGCCUGUUACUUGAGCUGCAAUCUGUCUCACGGGCCAAGAUGAGAUGCUUUCUCAGCUAAAGUGGCUUUCUAUAGUUGUCAAUUUGAAAUUAUAUGCAUAGAACUUCAGUAAAUCAUGGGAGAACCAAAACAAAUUAGUUUAGCAUUACACAGAAUAUCAUAUAAGAUACCCGCAGGUUGGCCAAGGGAUUGCAAU
rnacentral:lncRNA from 1 species